GAUAUUUUAUGAAACCAAGGUGGGGGUGGGUGGGUAUUGGAAUCCACUGCCUGCUGUUUUUCUGAUUUGUUCCUAAGCUCAUUAGAAGCUCUGCACCUCCUCCAGGGGAUGAAUCUCAUCUUCAGACAAUGUUAAACUCAUUCUCUUGAGCAGAGGUGAAAAAGCUAUUUCCCCACUGGAGUUUUCAAAGGCAAACAUUUCCUGCAGGAAAUCAAACAAUUCUAGACUUGACAAGGAAGCUAGGUAUAUUCAGUUCAGCAAGUAGCUGCCCGUGGGAAACCCCGUACACCUUCAUACACAGCCUCAGGCCUCUCCUGGGGAUGACAAAGCCAUUAGUUUUUAAAAGGACAAGGUCUUGACAAACCAGCUUGCUUGCUGCAAAUGCUAGCAUUGUCAAAACAGGAAGAGAUAAUCUUGGAUGAUGAAGGUCGGCGCCUAGAGCUGCUUGAUUUCCGGAUUAGCACAUAUAUGAGUAUGUCUAUUUUCCCUUCUUCUGAAACUAACAUACCUGAUAACAUAAGGCUCUGAAUUCUGAGUUUCUGAUUUUGGCAAUUUGUAUUUUGGGAUUAUUGGUUUUUUCUUUCAAAUUUUCUCAGCCAUUUAUUUAAAAAAUAUUUGAAUACCAAGCAUCUGUCACACUUGAUGGGCUUAACUAUAUUCUAUGGGACAAGAAGCCACAAGCCCUGCCAUUUGGUCUUAAAUCCUAGUGCUAAGCAAAGGUAAUAAAUCAGUAAACAAGCGCAACACAAACCAUGCUAAGAGCUAUGAAGGAAAUGAGAAGGGAGAUGAAUGAAAAAGGGAAGAUUCCUUUAAGUAGGAAGGUCAGGAACAGUUUUUGAGGAUGUCGCUUCUAAAUUUUGAUCUAUGUGCUGAAAAGAACACAACCAUUUGAAGAGCAGCAGGGAGAUGUGUGAGCCAAGGGAACAAAUGUAAAGGCUCACAGGCCGGAAGCUGAAACAAAGUCUGUGUGGUGGCAGCUGAGCAAGGAAGAAGAAGACUGGCCUAAGAGGAGGCUGGAUCAAGUCCAGGGUCAGAUGACAUUAGACCCUUUAGAGAGUGUAAGAAGUUGAGAUAGUAUGCACAGAACAAUAAGCAGACAAAUCGUUGCAAGUAGGUAGCAAUGCUUUCUGUUUACUCACUGACGCCUUGUCUUGUGAAAAAUCCUUUCUCUGUUAUUUUACUUUCUUUAGCCUGACCAGUCUCUCCAUUCCUUCCUUAGAAUAGUGAUUCGCUGACAGAGAGGAAAAGAGAGUUGAUUUUUACAAUAAUCCUGGCUUAUGAGAAUGAAAAUGCCUUUUCCAGAAACGAUAACUGAAAAUGUGAAUCGGGAAACAACAGGAGUUGAAGGGGAAACUAUGGCUCAGAGAAAUUGAGUGACCUUCUCAAUGUCAUAUAGAAGGAAAGUGUCAAAACCUGGAUUUGGAGACCUGGGAAAGAUGGGAAGAACUGUCUGUUGGGUGUAGCGGGAAGCAGGACCUGAUGCUGGAAGGGAGAAAAGAUAACCAUGCUAAAUGAAGAAAACUGACCACAAGAAUUCCAGUCCAACAGAAAAUAUAAGUGAAUAGGAUUAUUUACUUUCCAACAUCAAAAGGAGAGAAAUAUUUUGCUGUUCCACACAAACGAGUUGUUUCAUGGAGGAGCUGUGAUGCAUAUUUGGAGCUGGGAAGUGGAUAUCCCACCAGACACAUCUUUUCUUCUUGUUUCUUAAAACCUCCUAGUUAAAUUUCUUGGCCAUUUCAGGAAGAAAUCACAUAAAUUAUCAUUUUUUAAAUUUUAGCAUUCAUAAAUUCAAAUUUUUCUUAUUUUAUCGCAUUGGAUAGAAAGUCCAUUCUUUUUAUUCAUUGGAAGUUCCUGUCACCCUACAUGCUGAAAAUAUUUAUAUAGUUAGGAAUUCUCUGGAACUACAAUACUACUGGCUCACAUUUACAUAGCUUCUUUCAGUUCUCAAAAAUCCAUUAACAUGUCUUACCUCAUUUUUUUCUAACAAGUCUGUGAUACAGGAAGGUUUUAUUUUUUCCUCAUUUAAAAUUUGGAAAAAAUAGAUUUUAAAUAAUUCCUACAAGGUACUGAAGCUAGUAAUUAAACAAACAGAACAGACUAUAAUUCAGAUUUUCAGUUUCUAGGCCAGAGUCUAAUACAGCAGAUCAGCUAGCUUCCUCCUAUUAUAAAAAUCUUUUGGAAAAUACUCACAUUUUGGGUAUACUAAAAUAUUUCUCAUAGACAAUUGCCUUAUAUGAGAUGUUAUUAGGAAACUAUUACUCGUUAAAUAUCAUGCACAUCUGUUUCAUUGGACAGUAUGUAAAAUAACUAAAUUACUGCAAGUUGACAUCAAUUCAGAAAUUACAAUUACAGACCAAAGACUGAGGUACUGGGAUAUAAGAAUGUGCAAGACACAAGCAAUGCAUUAGUGAGAAUAGGUUAGAUUUUGCUGCUUUUAAGACCCCACAUUCUUGUGGCUUAAAAUUUUACCUCUCUAUAAAACAGCAUGACCCAUUUUGGUGAACGGGGGUGUGUUGUGUUCAUUAUAGUAACUUAGAAAUCUCUGUGUGUGUGCGCGCGCGCGUGUGUGUGUGUGUGUGUGUGUAUUUCAACGUACAUUUUAGAUACAGGGGUAGAUGUGCAAGUUUGUUACAUGAGAAUAUUGUGUGAUGCUGGGGUUUGGAGUUCAGAUCCUGUCUCCCUGGUAGUGAGCACAAUUAACAUUUUUACUUGUUUUUUCAACAAUCUGUGUGGCAGAGGAAAGGAAUAUAACAUAUUAACCUCUGGUUCUUAAAGUCUCAGGAUAUAAAUAGCACAGAUCUCAAUGCUAUACCUAAUUUGAAAAGGGGUAGAGAAGUGCAAUUCUACCAUGUGCUUGGGAGGAGGGGGCCAGAAUAUUUAUAAAGAGCCCUAAUGAUUCUCAAAAUCUUUGUCCUCAGCUAUAUAUAAUAUGUUGAAGAAGCUAGAAAAAGUAAAUAUAUAAUUGUAGUAAUUACAAUAUAAUAUGAUAUAUUGAACAAAAUAAAUGUGGGGACAAAGCAUUUUGGAGGAACAGAAUGCAAUAACUAAGUGUGCUUGGAGAAGAUAGAAAAUACUUUUUUAGGAGAAAAUGCCAUGUGAAUUGACCUAUAAAGAUAAAUUUACUGGAUAGAAAAAACAGGAGAGUGGUGCUGUUACUUUCAAUGGCAAAAACCACAGUUACUUUUGCACCAACCUAGCUUAUAAACCUUGUAUUAAGUUCCUUAGAGAAAUAGUCACUUAAACAGGCAUAAAGGUGGGGAGUUUCAGUGGGCUAAUCACAUUAAGUUACAUGACUUUAGAUAAAUUAUUUUACCUCUCUAUACUUCAAGUUUCAUGACAAUUUAAGGGAAUUGGAUUAAGAUUCUCUUAAGCUCUAAUAGUCUAUAUUUGAAUUAUUUAUUUUGGAAACUUAUUGGUAAUUUGCAGUUCUAAUACUUUGUCAAGCAUUCCAUGUCAAAGAAGAGCAGAUGGCAGGGAUGGCAAAUGGUUUUUCACUUUGCAUACCAACUCUGAUUUUUUAGAAGGGCCUCUCUAGAGCAAUCUGCUGAGUGAGAGACAGUCUGAGAAAGAAUUAUUAUGAAAUUUGCAUUUUAGAUUGAAAUAUAUAGGUAAAAUAAGAUCCCAGUAUAAAAAUUUUUUGCAUCUGUCCAGUGGAAAAUUCCUUUUCAGAAGUAAGCUACCAUGCAAAUGUAUUUUUCUGAAACAUUUUUUCACCUUAAUGUUUAUAACCAUCUACUCUUACCAAGUCCUUAGAAAUUCAAGACUUGUGUUGUUGAUUACAACUAAAUCAACUGUGGAGGGAAAUAAGUGAAAAAAAAAACUGGGAUGAGACGUGAAAUAGGUGGCUAAAAAUAGUAUAUAACAGUGGAAUAUUGGAAUAUCUAGUUUUAAUUGCCUCAGCCUAAUACUAAUUAUUUCAAUCUAGUUUGUGACAGAAAUCUAAUAAAGGAUACAGAAUAUUUUAAUUAACCUAUCAGAGUAAAAACUUGCUUAAAUUAUUCUUCAAGUAUUGGUUAUAAAUAGAUAAUGUUUAGUUAUGUUGACAUAGGUGAGAUAGCUAUAUCUAGAAAUGAUUGAACAUAAUUAAUAAUUAUAUGCCAUAAUUAUAUCCAACUUGAUUUUACAUUUUUCAAGACUUUGCAUUCUCUUCUGCUCUUUAUACUUAACAUAAUCACCAUACCUGAUUCCUACACAGCUUAGGAAAAUUAAUCAGCAUACUCUCUAUCAUUAUAUGAAAGUAAAAUGCAUUUGGAUGUUUGUUAUUGUUUUAUUUUCUUAUUGUUUACCUGGAUUCUUUGUUUGUUCUGCCAUUUUAUGGUAUCUACCAAUACCUCCAUAACCACUUGUAUUUAAGGAUAACCCUUCUUGACACCAAUGUAUUUAGAUUUAUGCAGUAAAUCACUGUGAUAUAUCAUUUAUACAUAUUACUUCUCCAAUUCUCCUAACAAUUUUUUUGCUGUUAAUCUGUGAGGAAUAAAAAGGAUUUUUAUUAUUAUUAUUAUUGUUCUUGUAAAAAUGAGAAAACUAAAGCUUAGAUAAAUUAAAUAAAUAAUUUAGUGUUAUCCAGUUUAUGUGAUUUUGGAUUUAAAACAAGGUUUACCAACUUAUAUGACAUUCAUUCUUAAUAUAGGAGAAAGUUAUUGCAAGUACACUCAUAGAGAAAAAUAUGGUAGACAGAGUAAAUCAGUGUAAAAAUGAAGAAACUUUAAAUGGCUAUUGGAGAUGUUUGCCAUUAAAUUAGGAUGUCUAAACUAUUCCCAACUGCCUCACAAGAAAUCUACUCAUUUUUAGUACUUUUAAACUAUUGCUAUGGACCAGCAUGAUUCAAUAUAAUAGCCACCAGCCACAGGUAGCUAUUUAAAUAUAAAUGUAAGAAUUGACAUAAAAUAAACUUAAAAAUUUAUAUCUCAGUUGCACUAACUACAUUUCAAAUGCUCACGUGCUCAGUAGCUAUAUGUGGCUGGUGCUUGUCACAUUGGACAGCACAGAUAUGUCCAUUAUUACAAAGGUUCUUAGCAUUUAUCUAGAGAAAUAUGUGAGUGAAUACUUAUUGGUCAUCACAUAUAUAACUUUAUGAUGUUUCAUAAGAUACAUCUACAUUUUCUACUUCUCACAUAUGAGAUUAUGGUUGAUUGGUGUACACUAGUCAUGGGUUCUAAUAUUACACAGAGUAGGGUACAAUAUAGGCCUUUAAUAGACAUUUGUUGUCACAUAAUCAAUUAAGACUCCAUAAAGUAGUUGACAGCUUUUUUAUUUUUAAUUCAUGGGACCUGGAUUUAAAUCCAAGCUAUUGCACUUAGUAUCACACAGCCUUUAACGGUUAUGCAUGUGUGUGUGUGUGUGUGUCUGUGUGUGUUUAAAAGUGCUUGAGAGAGUGGCCAAUAAUGCUUAGAAAACAAAACAUAAAAGCCAGUAAUUUUGGAUCAAGGGUACAAUGAUAACCCUUUUUUACAUUAUAUAACUCAUAACCUCAUAACUCUCAAUAACUUAAUGAAGGUUACUUGAAACACGAAUUCAAAGUUCUUCAAGUUAAAUACAUAGAAAUUCUAAGUUAAGGAAGCUAAUUCUUUACCAAUAUAUUUACUAAUUUCUCUGCUAACAAAUUUUUUAAAUUCAACUCCUUUCUUGUGGGUUUAAUAUUUUUCUUCCUUAAGAAAUCAGUUAAUGGAUCUUUUUAAUGUCAAAGAUAAAUUCACUCUCUCAAUCUUUUCUAGUCUUAAAAUGGCCUUAAGUAUUACAUUAUUGACUAAUACCUUAUUGUAACAAUCUCAGUUGACCAUUAUUUUCCUCCAGUACUUUGGAUAUAUCAAUCAAUAGUCUUGUACCAUAUAUUAUUGCUUAAGAGAAGCCUAUUAUCAAAUCUAUUUCCUUAUUAUUAGUACUGUGAAUUAGUCUUAAUAGUUAAAAUGUUCUAUUUUUUGACAUUACACAUUUUUACUAUGAGGCAUCUGGUGUGAAUUUGUUUUUUUUCUUCUCGGAAUUCAAUGUAAUUCUUUUAUAUUAGGAAUUAUGUCUUGUUCAAUUUUGAGAAUUCUUAGGCAUUCUAUAUUCAAAUAUAUAGGGACUUUUCAUUAUAUCUUUGGUGCCUCAUAAUUUUAUUCACAUUUUCUAUUUUUUUAUUUCUCUGAAUUACAUUCUGAUCCAUUUCUUCAGUUUUAACAUUUGUUUCAGUUAAUACUUCUAGAUCUAUAUACGGUUCAUCCUUUAAAUGACUAAUUUAGGCUAUUAUUUUUUUCAAAAACUAUUCAUCUUAAAGUUCCACUUGAUUACUGCUCAUAUUUCCUGACUGUUUUUCAUUCUAUUCUUGCUUGUUUCUAUUUUUUCUUUAGCUAUUUGAGCACUUUCAACUAUCUUUUACAGUUUAUUAGUUUUACUUAUAUUGUAAAUUCCCCUCUUUAUACAAUUGACUGAUUCUCUCUCAUUGUGGGUUGUUGCACAGUAUAUUUGUAACUUUUUACUGUGGUCUCAUCUUCAGAAGAUUUUCUUCUAUUGUUAUGUGUUUGUGCAUGCAUGUGUAUACACUUUCUACCCAGGAUUACUGAAGGAGAGUUUUUGAUUUGCCUCAGUUCAGGGCCCAAAGUCUUCAUUAGUUCUUGAUCACUGUUUAUGUUGACUUUUUAUCUAGUGACUAUGUAUAGAAUGAUCUAAAAAUUUAUUAACCAAGCAGUACACUUCUGAAAGUAAACAUGGCUUUAUAGCAGACAUAAACCAAGAUUGGCUUACAUCAGCUAGGACAUAUAAUUUUAUUCAUGCACCAUGAAAACAAUGGGAGUAUGAAUAUUAUAACCAUUUGUGAAACAUGCAUAGUAUAGUGAUUUUUGUUCCCUUAGGUGAUAAACGCUGGGACAAUGGAAAGUUCCCAUGAAGGUAUCUUCAGCCACUGAGAAGUUUUCAAAUCCAGUUACAUGGACUAGACAAGUUCUAGUCCAUUGACAAGUAUCUUUUGGUUUCAUGCAGGUAGUUCAUUUCCUGUUACCAGGAUUUGUUAUACAUUCUGAGAUUUACAUCCCUAGCUUCAGUUCUUAAAAGGCUUACGUCUAUCUCUUAUCAGCAAAUGAAUGAUUCUGCUUCACAUUCAACUCAUGUCUCUGCCCCUGGUUAUUGUCCUUAUUUGGAAUUUGUAGUUAUAUGAAACAUAAAGUUCCAUUUAAAAUUUUUAAAACUAAUUGUUAUUCAUCAUUAUUAUAUAUUUGCUUGGAAUAGAAGUAGGCCUGUUUUGUAUCAACUUAGUUCAUUAUAUUUGUAGUAUCAUUUUAGGUAGAUUUUUAAAUCUAAAAAUAUAACAAAAAUAUAAAUAAAUGUCUAAAAAUCUAAAUAUCUAAAAUAUCUAAAAAUCUAAAUAUAACAACUAUAGAUAAGUAUUCUAUUUUUAAUACACAUUUAUUUCUAUUUGUGUUCUCGUCAAAUAAUUCCAAUAAUUUUUUGUAAUGUAUUAACUAGUUCUCCAUCUCUGUCAUCUACAUUCUUCCCCUUUCUUGAUUUAUGCUUUUCCUCAAUAUGGUGCCAUUUCAGAUAUAAACCAAUAAUGGCAGAUUCUUUACAUAAAUAGAGGUCUAUGAUAUUGCUAAACAUCUGAAAGAGAGGAUGACCCAUAUCAGAAGUUAGCACACUAAUGCCUGUGCACUAAAUCCAGUUCGUUUAUUGAUUUUGUGUACCCUGUGAUCUAAGAAUUAUUUUUACCUUUUUAAAUAAUUUAAAAAAUCAAAAGAAUAAUUUUUUGACCCAUUAAUAAAAUAUGAAAUUCAAAUUUUGUUGUUUAUUUUAAAGUUGAAUUAAGCUAAGCCACACACAUUCAUUUAUGUAUUGUCGGGGUUUUGUGGUUGUUGCUGUUUUUUAAUAGAGACAGGGUCUCACUAUUUUACCCAGGCUGGUCUUGAACUCCUGAGCUCAAGCAAUUCUCCCACCUCAUUCCCCCAAAGUGUUGGGAUUAUAGGUGUGGGCCACCGCACCCAGCCAAUUUAUGUAUUGUCUAUUGCUGCUUUCACAUUACAAUGGCAGAGCUGAGUAUUUGUAACAAACAUCAGAUCCAUACGUUUAAAAUAAUGUCUUUACUUCACAAAAAUCUUGCUGAACCCCUGGCCUCUAUAAUUAAAUAAACAAGGUAAUGACAUAUUCAUUUUAAUCAUUUCAGAAUUUCUGUGAUUAACAUCAGUGGGUAGAUUUUAAAGGAAUUAGUAAGAUAAAUCUAAGUUUAUAUAACAUUUUGCUUUAGAGAUUGGCAGAAGGUAGGUGGUAUCAGAGUGAUGUUAUGUAAUUUAUCAGAACACAAAUAUUGGUACUCGCAAAAGGAAAAAUAAAAACAGGAAAUUGCACAUAAUGAAAGAAAAGUAAUGGUAGAAAUGUUAUAUUGUACUUGAAAGUUCAGGUUUAUUACAGAAGAAGUUUUCUAAUAAGAAUCAGCCUGUUAGAGCACAGAUAUAUAUAACAACAACAAAAAAGACUGACAUUGUGAAAAAAAAAUUCACCAUGUAAAAUCCUGAUACUUUGAAUCUUGUGACUUCAUAAAGUGCACACAGAUGAACAAAUUUGAAUGUAUCAAAUACAGUUCAACAAUAAUAGUUAUAACUAUCUUACUAAGAGAUGUAAGCACCAUAUGCUCAUCUAUGGAAAAGCUAACAGCAAUAAAAAAUAAAGAGAAAAUGGAUAUUAGCAAAGGCAACUAAAAGUUUUCUCUCCUAAGAGACAGAUGAGUUUCUAUUACAUAUCAAGGUUACUUUUGUAUCAGAAAAUAACUAAUUGAAACAACAACAACAAAAAUAAGUAUGAUAUAUAACUAAUAAAUAUUGUACAUAAUUAAUAUGCAUACUUCUAUAUCAUCAUUUAAUAGGAUACAAUUUAUGAGCACUAACACAUUUCAAAUAAUGAAUUUAAAAUUGCUAAGGUAGUUUUUAAAACCAUCUUUUAUUUAAAAAUCUGAAGAACAAAGCAAAGUGAAAACAUAUUCUUAUUUUAUGUGCUCUUGAAUUUACAAAGAUAUUUUUUAAAACAUUUAUUUAUCUAUGUUUAAAUUCCUGAGGAAAUGUACUUAUUGGCAGGUCCAUGGAAUCUGAGAAGAAAACUACCUUCCUUGACAAAUGUAUAGUAAGUGUCCAAUGAGCAACUUGUCAUAAUUGGAUCCGCAGUUUCAGGCUGGGUUGAGGGAAGUGAAAAAGCCUACAGGGAGUGAGCAUUAUGUUGUAAACACUGUGUUAAGUGAUUUACAUGCGUUAUUUAAUGUGAUAUACACAAGACUUUGACAAGUUACUCUGCUUUAUGCAUGAGAAAAUUGAGAUUCACAGUCAAUAAGUUAUGCGUCUGUUUCCUAGUCAGUAGAAAGUUGCAGAGUGGAACUUAGGAGCGAUACUUGUUUAAACCUAAAACAUGCUAUUCUCAAGAAACUACUCUAUAUUUAUGUCAGGAUAAUCCCAGGACAGGAUAUAACUUUAAAAUAUAUCUGAAAGGUAAAAAGCACAGACUUGGGACUCAGAUAGACCUGUAUUUCAUAUUCAACCUGGAUAAUUUCAAGUGCUCAUUGGGAAAAUACAGAACCUUUUAAACAUCAGUUUCCUCAUAUGUGAAAUGGGUGUAAACUCACCUAUUACGCAGAAUUGUUAUGAAGGUCAAACAAUGUAGGUAAGGCACCUAGCACAGUGCCGGGCACUUAGAAAGUGUCCCCUAUGCAACAACUGCUUUCAUUAUCAGUGUCAACUCUGUCAUCAUCACCACAGUUUCUGUGAGGCUCCCUAUUCUUUCCACAAGUAGAUUCCCCUCUCUUUAUGUCGUAAACCUUACCAUUAUUACAGUAUUUAUCACACUGACCUUUAAUAUUGGUAAUAAGCGUAAAAUGUAACAUUCUAGCAGAUCGUAAAGGUAAUUACUAUAAUAGUAACAAAUAUUAUUUCAUUUAACAAAUGAUUUUAUUUCAUUUCAUUACUUUAUUAACUUGUUCAACAAUAAAUGAAGAGCUUUGGUUUGCAGCUCUAAAGGUUUCUUCCCCCAUGCACACAGAUAACACAUAAUUCACAAACAAACAAAACCAAAUAAUUUCAGGUAAUGACAAAUAUUAUAUAGAAAAAUAAAAUAGAGUGAAGGGAGAUAUUUUAGAUAGGCCAUUUGAGCAUUCGCUCUUCUGAAGGGACCCUUGAGAAGAGACUUAAAUGAAGGCAAAGAAUGAGCCAAGCCCAUGUCCAGGAAAGGUCUACAAUAGGCAGAGGUAACAGGUAUAAAAACCUGGGUGUUGCAAGGGUAGUGAGCCAGAAGGAAGAGAGAAAGAGAUGAAAUUCAGAAGAUGGAUGGUAGAGUUCAAACUUAGAAGUUUGGAUGGUAAUCUAAAUGUUACGGGCAUCUGUUGGGGAAUCUUGAGUAGUGAGGAAUACAAUUUGAUUUAUAUUUUUUAAAGCCCCUUCUGGCUCUUCUUUGAGAGAGAAGAGGAAGGAAAGAGGUCAGUCAUAGAGCAACAUGGCUAUUUUCCAAGACACAUAAAAUUAUGGCUUUGACUAGGGACUAUAAGGGGAUGACAAGUACUCAGAUUUGGGAAAUAUUUUGUAGGUAAACAUAAUAGGACUUGUUGCUGGAUUGAACAUGAGAUUUCAAACUUAUCCUAUAUUUCUUCAUAAAAAGACUGUUGAUCUCAUUGUGUAUACAGCAACAACUGAGAAAUUUAUCAAAGCAACAAACCACUAUGACUAAGCAAAAGUUUGUGAAAAAAUGUUUUUUGUUAAAACAUGACCAUAUAAUAUAUGCAGAACCAUAUAUACUUCUUAUAAAUAGUUUAAAUGAUAUGCAAAGUUAAAAUAGCUUUUGUAAGUUAAGCUCAAGGGGGCCUUGGCAAUAUUCAUUAUGAAAUGUUUGAUCACCUACCUCCUGCAUCUCUUAGUACCAACACCCCCUCUCCUGCUAUUCUUUAAUACAGACAAUUAACAUGUUUUUCUACCUUCUGUAAAAUGUUUUACUAAUACUGUUUUCAAGGCCCGGUUCUCCUUCUAAUCAGAUUGUCAUACAGCCUGCGUACUUUCUUUUUUCUUUUUUUUUCCCGAGACAGAGUCUUGCUCUAUCACCCUCCAGGCUGGUGUGCAGUGGAGCAAUCUCGGCUCAGUGCAACCUCUGCCUACUGGUUCAAAUGAUCCUCCUGUCUCAGCCUCCCAAGCAGCUGGGAUUACAGGCACACCCCACCAGGCCUGGCUAAUUUUUGUAUUUUCAGUAGAGACAGGGUUUCACCAUGUUGGCCAGGGUGGUCUUCAACUCCUGACCUCAAGUGACCUGCCCGCCUUGGCCUCCCAAAGUGCUGGAAUUACAGGCGUGAGCCACUGUGCCUGGCCCAGCCUGCAUAUUUUCUAAAAAUCAACUCAAAUAUCCAUUUGUUUAAAAGACUAUUUAAAUAUUUUUGGUACAUAGCAUAUACUUGCUUGAUAUUUGGCUAAAGGGAUGUCCACAUGAAAUCGAGGCUCACGAUUAUCUUGAGAAGAGCCACUCUUUAAAAGCAAUUAAAUAGAAAAAUGGAAGAUAAUCAUGUGAUGCUAGUCAAGCCCUCUUCCCUUCCUAGAUGGCUGCACUGGGUAGACAGAGAUUCUUGGUAUGUUAGGGCAGUAACUGUGUUCAAGGAGGAAAAUAGGUACUAGCCUGUCAGUCUAGUAGAGGAGAUGGCUGAAAGAGAUAAUACAUCUCAGUUCAUGGGUCUGCCUUAAAUAAGAACUCUGGAGCUAUCCCUGUGUCCCAAGGAAUUAAUCUCUCUAUUUCAGUAUGUGUGUUCUGAUCAACUCAUUGUAGCUAUUAUUCAUCUCCAGCUAUCAAUUGGAUCACUUGAGGUCAUCUCUGUAUCUGGAAUGGUGUCAUACAAGAAGGGUCUUGGCGGUGGUCUGACCUGCCAUGGACUGUCCAUCUGCCCGGACUACAGCGAGACAAUUUUUCCAAGCUUCCAAGGAGCCAAGCUGAAGAAAGAGUGAAACAAUGGAGGCGCCUUUCUUUCUUGAUCUUGGGAGAAGGUAUUAAACUAGAACUCAGAAGAUCUGGGCUGCUACUUUCUAGUUCGUCACCUCAUGCAGGAUAUGUAGCUUUUGCAAAUCUUGACUUUCCAAAUUUCAAAUGAAGCUCGUGAUUUGUGUCUUGAGUACAUAGGGACUUGCUAUGAGCAUUAACAGAGAUUACGAAUGCAAAGCACUUUGCUUAUCAUUAAUUUUUUUUUCUUUUUUUUUUUUUUUUUUUGAGACUGAGUCUCUCUCUGUUGCCCAGGCUGGAGUGCAGUGGCACCAUCUCGGCUCACUGCAACCUUCGCUUCCCAGAUUCAAGCGAUUCUCCUGCCUCAGCCUUGCAAGUAGCUGGGACUACAGGUGCACACUACCACGCCCAGCUAAUUUUUGUAUUUUUAGUAGAGACAUUGGCUAGGAUGGUUUUGAUCUCUUGACCUCGUGAUGCACCUACCUAGGCCUCCCACAGGCGGGAGCCACCAAGCAGGCUGCUUAGCAUUAAUGUUUUUAACAAAAUAAUGAGUAGAGCUACAUGGCAGAUUCAAUUCUGAUUCUGUGUUAUAUGCUUGAUCUGUAGCUAUGCCUCAGCAGCUUUGCACAGCAUAGGGGCACAGAUGCUUUCUUCUUAUUGUGACUUACAUGGAUUCAAAUUGUAGGUGACAGAAAAAUGUUGGUAUUACAUGUCAAACACAAAGGCAAAUAGAAUAAAAAGGUUAUAAUCAAGCUGUAAGCUGCACGCUCUAUUCAGUCUUCUUUCUCUCUGAAAUAUGUCAACUACUAUUUCCUGAGAUAUGAGGCACUUGAUGAUUGAGAUGAUUAAAAAAUACAUCCACCCGAAGUAAGCAUCAAUUACACAAAUUUACUAAUAAGAAACAAUCAAAUAUGCCUCCACAUGAAUGCACACAACACACACACACAUAAACAGAUUGUUAUGAAUUAUUCUCCAGAUUUCUACUUGUCACUAUUUUAUUAGGUAUACAAAGAAUAUUUUAUAUAUCACUUUGCUCUGGGAUUGAGAAACUUUUGCUUUAAGGUUUUAUUUUAUUUUAUGGUUAGAAAAGAAGGGUCAUUGAACUAUUAUAAACCAGUGAUGUUUCUAGAGUUUUCCUCCAAUUUCAUCAAAGAAGGAGAAACAGAUAUAGUGACCUAACACGUAGUUUUUAGAAACUGUUGUUACAGAGUUAAGAGCUGAAACUUUCACAAGUUUUUAAAACCAACAAACAAGCACAAGAAAAUAUAAUAUUUUCUAUACAAGGUAUUCUGAUGAUAUAAUAGUUUUAUAUUCAUUCAUCUUAUUAAUCAAAGAUGGAAGUAAACAAAAGAGGUCAUAGAUGUUUUUGCUAAUAAAAAAGAGAGGGAGUUCCUUACUUUCAUUAUUUAAUGUUAAUAAUAAUCAUAAUUGGAAAAAAAAAAACCCAUAGAUUCGAAGUUAAGUGGCUUGCCCAAGGUCAGGUUUACCAAAAUAUCAUUUAUUCUAUAUUCAAAGGUCUUUCACUCAAAAGACUCAUUACCUG
rnacentral:lncRNA from 10 species